GGGCGCUUAGCUCAGUUGGUAGAGCAUCGCCCUUACAAGGCGAGGGUCAGUGGUUCAAGUCCACUAGCGCCCA
rnacentral:tRNA from 1 species